ACUGAGCCCGCCCAGUCCCGGGCCUGGUGAACGGAGCGCACAUGCCCUCAACCAGCCGCUCGGUCCGCGGCGCACGUGUGUAGCCGGAGAAGGGUCGGCCAGCGGUUUAGGCGCUUGCUCGCCACCAGCCAGCCGGCCAUCGGGGUGGGGCUGGCCGCGCGCUGGUUCCUUUUUCUUCCGCCGUCCUUCUGGCUGCUUCACGGGAAAAGGGUCCGCGUUGUCUCCCGCAGAGAUGAAAACUGAAGCUAUGAAAUGGUGGCUUGUUCAAUGCCCCACAAUGGAUGAAUGGCAGACAAGAUUCUUAAAGCUGAGCUUCCCAAACCCAUGUCCAGUCCACAAGGCUACAGCAGCAGAAAGAAGUGGCUGAAGUUGCAACCUAUUGCAUUAGUCACUGAAAGAAGAUAAGCGUGGCAAGCCAUUCUUCUCAUGGUCAUGAACAAUGUUCUCUGGGAUUUCCUCUAUGGAAGAAAAAGCUCCUGAGGAAAUAAAUUAGGACAUGUUUUUACAAAGGAACCAUUCAAAUUGUCUCAUUCUCUCUUCUGUACUGGUGGCUGUCACCAAAUUGCUAGUAUCUGCUGACAUAAGCAUGAGCAAGUUACUUCUUUAAAAAACUGAAAGAAAAGCUGAAGGUUCUUGGAAAAUCUCCCCCAACAACUCAAGUUCUACACAAAGCUACUUAAGAGUUCAUAUGUUGUGUUUUCUCUGGCACUUUCCAACACUGGCCAGGACUAUAGGCAGCUGUACCAAAUUCUGUACUUGAAGGAUGUUCUCCACACCAAAUUGUCCCUGAGACCAGUUGCAUAAAUAGUUGAAGCCUGAAGUACAAUGUAGUAGAAAAUACUGUUCUGCUGAAUUUGAACAGAAGGCACUGAUGACUGGCCCAGCAUUGUUAUUUAGCCAAGGCCAGUCUAGAGAUUUCAUACAAUUCACAUAGUCAGGUAUUGAAAUUUCUUAUAUUCUUCUGCAUCAAAACUGAUUCUAAAACCUGAAUAUAAAUGUUUCAGGAAUGUUGUACUAUAUGAGAUCCUAGUACAUAGCCACCCAGCAACCCACAGCACUAAGAAAUACUUCCCCUCAAUGCAAAGCAUUGAAAUAAAAUAUAUUCAUACUGCCUUGGUCUAAUUUAAUACAUGCAAUACUGAAUCUUCUUUCAUUGCUUUCAGUUUCUCCUAUAUCAAUUUCCAGGUUGCAAUUAAAAGACAUUUAAUUUUA